rnacentral:rRNA from 1 species
GAUGAACGCUAGCGGAGGCUUAACACAUGCAAGUCGAGGGGCAUCGCGGUGCAGCAAUGCACUGGCGGCGACCGGCGUACGGGUGCGUAACGCGUAUGCAACCUGCCCCGCACCGGGGGAUAGCCCGCGAAAGGCGGAUUAAUACCCCAUGGCCCCGGGGGCCCGCAUGGGCAUCCGGGUAAAGCCUUGGCGGUGCGGGAUGGGCAUGCGUGCCAUUAGCUGGCUGGUGGGGUAACGGCCCACCAGGGCAACGAUGGCUAGGGGGUCUGAGAGGAUGGUCCCCCACACUGGUACUGAGACACGGACCAGACUCCUACGGGAGGCAGCAGUGAGGAAUAUUGGUCAAUGGGCGGAAGCCUGAACCAGCCAUGCCGCGUGCGGGAUGAAGGCCCUACGGGUUGUAAACCGCUUUUCCCCGGGAAGAAUAAGCCCCCCGCGGGGGGUGAUGCCGGUACCGGGGGAAUAAGGAUCGGCUAACUCCGUG